GGCGGAGAGCAUGUAAGAUGACAGCCAAAAUUGCACCUGGCACAUGGGUGCUACUGAAAAACAAGGAUAUCCCCCAACAGAUUGGUGGUGUAGACUGUGGAGUCUUCAUGUUGAUGUAUGCUCUACAUCUAGUCUUGGGAGCACCCUUUGAUUUUACAUCUAUGGUGGACUCUUAUUCUUCUGGAGAACUUUGGGGUUUUCUCUGAAAGGUAGAUACUGGACAUUUACUCCAGCCCACCGUUACAUUUGCACCCUCUUCUGAUCAAUUUUAAAUGAACCAAGAUAUAUAUAUUCCAGUGCAGAAACCCUACAAGAGUCCCUUCCAUGUGAAGAACAAGCUACGCUUAGCAGCAGUGAGGCAGUGUGUAUAUAUAUAUAUAUAUAUAUAUAUAUAUAUAUAUAUGUAUAUAUAAUCUCUUAACAUAUAAUACAUUUAUAAAGUCACAUUUUCCUUUAAUAUUCUGUAAUGAAGGAGCUCCCAAUAAUCCGGCACAUGAAAGAAUCUGUGAAUUGGCUCCAUUCCAACAGCUAUCUGCUCAGGGGUCCAGUGGAAGAGCCUCUUUUCAUUCAAAUGAAUGAAGACGACAAGGAAAAGGCCCGCAACAAUCUCCUGGAACAGUCAGAAGCUUCCAGAGAGCCCUUUCUAUUUCAUUUUGUGUUCAGGGAUGACAUGGAGUUAUUUUAGCAAGAAUGUAAGGACAAAAUGGGCCUGAGAGUGAAUUCCUCAUUUGAUACAUUUUAAGUUUAAUUUAUACAGGAUUGUCAUGAUAAAAUGGGCCUAGGGGUGAAUUGGUCAUUUGUUGUAUAUAUUGUUAUUGUUUCUUUUAAAAUGAUGCUUAAUUUUCUGUCUUUUUUAGUUUUUUGACAUGUUUUAUUUUACAUAAAGAAAAAUGCAUGC